AUAAGGAGGCAGUGGUUAUUUAAAACAAUAAUAUCAAAAAGUCUCCUCAAAAUAAAACACAUCCAUAUUUUAACAUAAUUGCAAUUUGGUCAUAUUGGUUAUAGUAUAAACAUAAUAUUGAUUUAGAAGGACACAUUUUUCAGAUCUUAGGAAAAUUACAGGUAACAAAUUCAUCAUUCCUCCAUCUCCCUCUUCCCUUCUUGGUUACACUGUAUGUAUCUUUAUCACUUCACUAUUUAUAAAGUGAUCUAUCAAUGAACAACAUCUUUUAAAUCACUGUCCUUGCUUCAUUCUUUUUCCUAACAUUUUCUUGCUAGUUGGUAUCCAUCAUUCUUACCCACAUUUGGGGAGAUAGAAAAGUUUUUGUAUUCCUCAUUUUGUUGUACCUAUCCACCUAAUGCCUUAAAAAUCAAAUUAUUAACAUGCAGGAUAAGUCACCUAAUCAUGAGAAUUAGCAGCUUUUUGGUUUAAUUAUAAUCAUAAACUUUUCUUCUGAAUCAAUGUUCACGUAUUCAAUCAUUUAUCUUCAGAAAUGUCUUCUUAUAUCAAAAAUUCAAAUCUGAGACUUUAUCUCCUUUCACAUUUUACAAUGUCUGAACUUCUUUAUAAUCUAUUUUAGACUCUAACAACUUUGUAAAUAUAUUACUUGUCAUUGUUCUCUACUUUUAAGUUUGAAUGUGAUAUCACUCUUUAUAGAAGGCUCCAAGCAAAUCUGAGAAUAAGUUUUGAAUUGAUUUAGUUACUUUUUACGUGCAUUUAUUUCCAAAUGCACACUAAAAUAUUAGAAAGAUGGUGGUUAUACAAAUUAGAUCUCUUUCGUCACACAUUUUCUUCUAAAUGUAUAUUUUCAAGUGUCUUAGUAAUUUCUUGCAGCUGAAAUAGAGAAGCUGAUAUUUUUAUUAAAUAGUUUUCAGAAAACCUCAAUCUCUUUAUCUCUACCACUGCUCUUUGGCUUUCUCUAAACAUACACCUGUAUGCACCAUAAAUAUAUUUAUUGUGAAUAUGAAAGUUCCUCAAGGUUCCUGCGUGUUUAUAUCUAACAUCACUGAUCUAUAAGGCAUAUAUUAAACUUUAGUGCUUCUUUAGUAAUAAUGAUGCGCUUGUACCACCACCUAUCCACACUCUCACACAAUCACCCCUUUUGAAGUAAAGCCUAUAUUUUAAAAAUAACCAUUACAGAUUGUGAGUGCAGUCUAGGAUCACAUAGCAGAACUAAAAGCUAACUGGCCCACCCACAAAGUAAAUGUGAGACAGAGGGCUCGGGGUAGCCAUACUCUAGCCAAGUAGUACUGACAGAUACCAAUAGAUAUAAUCAAAUGUUACACAUUUGUGUUUGCAAACGGGAUAAAUAUUUUCCUGACCAAUCUAUACUUUUGAUGAUUCAAGCUACAGGAUAAGUUUUAAAAAUGUCUUUUGCACUUAUCUACAUUACUUAAUAGUAUCUUCUUGUCAUAGACAACUGUUUUACACCAUUUUAGUAGGAAAUCAAUUUGUCAUUCAAUUCCAUUUUCUAAUGCAGUAGUCCAACCCAACCCAGAAUGCAUUAUUGAUAUGGAAAUGAGUGUAAUUAGCAGCGUAAAUGAUCUGUUAUUUAUGAUACAAGUCAGAGCAGUAAAUCACCAUUGGCUCACUAUCAUUACUAUGCAAAUAGAAGAAAGCAGUUAAUGGUCCAUGUGUUUAAAACAGGCCACUUGCUUGCUCAUUUGCAAAUGAAAGGCAAGGGUGAGAGUUUAAGGUAGAGAUGACAGUUUAUCAUAUUGUCAGUCCUGGUACUUGGACUUAAGAAAACCAAGACACACCAAUCAUUAUGCUAGUUUUAAACGUUAUCCCCUUUCUCUACUGUAUAUUCUGCCUCGAACCUAUUCUUACAGCACCUUCAAACUUAUUUUGGGUUCCCUGUGAUUUGCACAUUGGAAGUGGAAAUAAUUGUGAGAGUGCUUGUAAGUGUUUCGCACUGUAUGAGAUAGUUUUUAUGCCAUAUGGGAAAAACACAAUAAAAAUUCACUAUUAUGAAAUAAAAUAGCAUCACUGGUCAUAUAAUUCACUUCCUUUUCCUACAAAUAAAUUUUAUUUUCUUGUAAGGAGAGAAACUAGCAAUAAUUUGAGUAGUUAGAGAAUAAAGGAAAUAUUUGUGAGCCUUACUGGAAUUUAUUCAGUAUACCUGAAAGAAAUUGGUCUGCCUGUCCUGGUUGCUCUCUUUUCGUUUAAUAUUCCAGGGAAUGUGAGAGCUUGUGGGGAAACGUGAGUGCAUUAGCAGCAGGCCAAUGCUUGCUUAGUGAAAUGGGAACAAAGGCAAGACACAUGAAAAGCUAGAGGAAGAAGAGGGAUUGAGGGCAAAUGCAAAUUCUGCAAGCUUCACUUGCAUAGAUCUGAUCAUUUUUUAAAGUAUUUGACAGACUUUCAGAAAUACAGAACUGAGAAAGAAUAAUAAUGUCUUUAUAUUGAAGGUGUACAUAGUAGAAAGGAUCUCAAUCUCACAUAAAUUAUCUCCAUUUUGCAAAUAUAUAAAUAAAACUGACAAAUCACUUAUGAAACCUUAUUUUGGUUUGUUGUUAUUUUUAUUAAGCUAUGGAUUCAAGAAUGACAUACAAAUUGGGCAUGAAUUUUAUAUACAGGAAAUGAUAAUAAUAUUUAAACAGUAGAAAAUACUUUUUCUUAUACCAACAUUUUUUCUUAAAUUAUAUGUACAGAGUGGUUGGAACAAUGCUUUAAUUCAUCUUUCUUAUCAGCUUAUGUUUUGUAAAUAUUAUGUUUUUCUUUAAUUCCAAGGAAAUAGCUAGGCCAUUAUAUUUCCUUGCCUCAUUGGUUUUUCCAGAGAUAAUCUUCCUUCUUGGCUUUUGUUUUUGAAACCUAAACCAGGAAGAAAGAUUAUAUGAGGAAUCUGAAAAAGUCAAAUUCAUAGAACCAAAGGGUGAAAUGAUAGUUGUCCAGGACUGGAGAGGAGAAAAUGGGAAAUGGCUAAUCAAUGAGCAUGAAGUUUCAGUAAAGAAAAAUUAAUAAGAAAGUCUACAGAUCUGGUGCAAAACAUUGUACCUAUAGCUAAUAAUACCACAUUGUAUACUAAAAAUGUAAGAAAAUAGAUUUCAUGUUGUGUUCUUAUCACAAUAAAAUAAAAUUUAAAUAAAUAAAGUAAAAUAAAACCUUAAGUCCAGUGAGAAGUUUAAGCUAGAGGAAAGGUAGAUGGUUUUGGGUUGAGCCCAUGCAUUUGUUAUCAAGAAGAGAAGAGACAAGUGCAUACUCACUAAGUCUGGGAAAGGAAGGGACAUCUGUAGGCAUAACAGAUAGAGGGAUACAAGUGCACUCCCAGGCAGCACUCAGGAAAUGAACUGACUUCAGGGGAGGGGUUAUGUGGAACCCCAGUGUAUCAGUCAGAUUCCCAGCAACUACUUUAUGAGACAUUCAAAUUAGGAUAAUUUAAAGAAUGUUAAUAUAAAAGUUAUUAAUUUUAAGAGUUUGAGCAAUGUAAAGGAAUUACUAGGGACAGUGCAGGAAUGAGAGCAGUUUAUUUGAGCUGGCAUUAGCCCCAGGCCCAGCAAGACUAAAGCAGGGAAGAGAGAGAUUAUAGAACAAAGAGAAACUUACAAAUGCAGCUUCCUUCAGAGCAGCAAUGACCUUCCCUUGAAAGACACAGAUUAAGAAGAUCUCACAGAGAGGGAACCAGGAGAACAAAUACUUAGUUUCACUGUCCUUUCUCUCUCUCUGAUUCCCUGCUGGGGCUUUCCAAAUGGGUCAUUGGACAAUCCUAAACAAAACCCAGAAAGCACAGGAGUCUACUGAUAAUCAUCCACACAGGCCAGCUUCCAACAAUCAGAACACAAAGCCAGGAUUUCUGAGGACACAGUGGAGCUUUCUGUCUUCAACGGAUUAUACAAGUGUGGAUAGCUGAGUAUAUCAAAGGAGGAGGCUGUCAUAAACCAAAAACUAAGAAUCCCCCUCUAAAAUUUCAUAUGACAGUUACCAAAAUUUACUACAUUUACUAAGUUCUUAUGCCCACGGAUUAUGCUAAGCACUUUAUAUAAAUUUUCUUCUCCCUUACAGUAUUUUCAGGUAGGUCCUAUUAUUAUUCUUUUUUGACAAAAUAAGAAACUGAGGCACAGAGAGGUAAUUAUCUUCCUAAAUAACACAUGAUGAACACAUGAUGAAACCAUGGCAGUUAGAUUCAAACCUGUCUAGGUCUGACCCCAGAGCCUGUUCACCUAAUGACCUCAUAUAAUGCUUCCCUAUAUUUGACAUAAAUAUGCUGAUAAGAUUCCCAACUGUGGAAAGUAAUUAAAAUAAAAUGCGAAAAUACUUAAAACUAUUCAUAAUUUGAAUUAAUAGGUUCUUUUAAUUAAUAUCUGUUAUAGUUUGCCUUCUACACUGAAACAUUAAGUUGGAAGAGAGGCAGAAGUAAUGGGAUUCAUACAUAUGCAGAAUUGCACCAUUACUUUAAAAUGAAAUGAAGAUGAGAGAACCACUUAGACAUUAUAGUUGUUGGACAGAUUAAAUAAUCCACUUUCCUAAAAUGCAACUGGUAAAGAAAAUAAAUAAUGCUUAUGAAAGGAACUAGAUUCAGGUCUAUUAUUUAGCUUGGCUUUGAAUAUUAAUUGUUUUUCCUCUUAUACUUGUGUUUUAUAUACAUACAUACGAUGUGCUUUAUUUAAGUAGAAACCACGUGUUAAAAAUGUGUAAGUAAAAUAUAACUAGCAGUCAUAUUAUUAAAAUCUACACCAUGUCUAUAUCAAACAUCUUAUUUAAGCCAGAAGAACAUUUUUAAAACAUAAAACCUGUUAAUAAAGAGAAAUUCCAUAAAAUGAAAAAUUGCUUUCUAUCUACAGUCAGUUAUGUCUCUUUGCAGGUUGCAAUUACUUCGCAUGUUGGUUUUUUUUUUUUUCUUUUCUUUUAAAUGAAGUCUCGCUUUGUUGCCCAGGCUGGAGUGCAGUGGCGCGAUCUUGGCUCACUGCAGCCUCCACCUCCUGGGUUGAAGCGAUUCUCCUGCCUCAGCCUCCCAAGUAGCUGGGAUUACAGGUGCCUACCACCACACCUAGCUAAUUUUUUGUAUUUUUAGUAGAGAUGGGGUUUCACCAUGUUGGCCAGGCUGGUCUCAAACUGCAUGCUGUUUUUAUAUUCGAAGAAUAUUAUGUUGUAUACAUAUUGAGAUCCCAUUACCAAUCUUGUUUAGCAUGAGACAGCUAAGUCAUUGAGUACAGAGUUAUUUUCCAAAAGUAUUCAAUCUCAUGUUGAGAAAGCAAGAGGAAAGAUGAGGUGGGAGAUGGGGGAUGGGGGAAGCAAGAGAGAGUGAGAGGGAGAGACAGAGACAGUGACACAAAGACAAGGAGAGACAGAGACAAAGAUUGAGAUUGUGGUGCUGAGUUUUAAUGACCUUCUGACCCCAAACCUGGUCACAUUGAUGUAAAUAAUAAAUACGCGGUUGCACUGCUUUUCCUUAGAAGGAAACAUAGACUUACUCCUGUAUCUCUUCU